rnacentral:rRNA from 1 species
AGUGAACGCUGGCGGUAGGCCUAACACAUGCAAGUCGAACGGCAGCACAGGAGAGCUUGCUCUCUGGGUGGCGAGUGGCGGACGGGUGAGGAAUACAUCGGAAUCUGCCCAGUCGUGGGGGAUAACGUAGGGAAACUUACGCUAAUACCGCAUACGACCUUCUGGUGAAAGAGGGGGAUCGCAAGACCUCUCGCGAUUGGAUGAGCCGAUGUCGGAUUAGCUAGUUGGCGGGGUAAUGGCCCACCAAGGCGACGAUCCGUAGCUGGUCUGAGAGGAUGAUCAGCCACACUGGAACUGAGACACGGUCCAGACUCCUACGGGAGGCAGCAGUGGGGAAUAUUGGACAAUGGGCGCAAGCCUGAUCCAGCCAUACCGCGUGGGUGAAGAAGGCCUUCGGGUUGUAAAGCCCUUUUGUUGGGAAAGAAAUCUUUCAGGCUAAUACCCUGGGAGGAUGACGGUACCCAAAGAAUAAGCACCGGCUAACUUCGUG